rnacentral:rRNA from 1 species
CAAUCUCUGCAUGGGGUGUUGGUGGAAAGCGUUAUGGAGUGGUUUUAGAUGGGCUCACGGCCUAUCAGCUUGUUGGUGAGGUAAUGGCUUACCAAGGCGACGACGGGUAGCCGGCCUGAGAGGGUGACCGGCCACACUGGGACUGAGACACGGCCCAGACUCCUACGGGAGGCAGCAGUGGGGAAUAUUGCACAAUGGGCGCAAGCCUGAUGCAGCGACGCCGCGUGAGGGAUGACGGCCUUCGGGUUGUAAACCUCUGUUAGCAUCGAAGAAGCGAAAGUGACGGUAGGUGCAGAGAAAG